rnacentral:rRNA from 1 species
CUGUAAGCCGUUGAAGGUGACCUGUGAGGGUUGCUGGAGGUAUCAGAAGUGCGAAUGCUGACAUAAGUAACGAUAAUGCGGGUGAAAAACCCGCACGCCGGAAGACCAAGGGUUCCUGUCCAACGUUAAUCGGGGCAGGGUGAGUCGACCCCUAAGGCGAGGCUGAAAAGCGUAGUCGAUGGGAAACAGGUUAAUAUUCCUGUACUUGGUGUUACUGCGAAGGGGGGACGGAGAAGGCUAGGCUAGCCGGGCGACGGUUGUCCCGGUUUAAGCAUGUAGGCGGAGUGACUUGGUAAAUCCGGUUGCUUAUCAACGCUGAGGUGUGAUGACGAGCCACUACGGUGGUGAAGUAGUUGAUGCCAAGCUUCCAGGAAAAGCCUCUAAGCAUCAGGUAACAUUAAAUCGUACCCCAAACCGACACAGGUGGUCAGGUAGAGAAUACUCAGGCGCUUGAGAGAACUCGGGUGAAGGAACUAGGCAAAAUGGUGCCGUAACUUCGGGAGAAGGCACGCUGGCAUUAGGUAAAGAGACUUGCUCUCGGCGCCGAAGCCAGUCGCAGAUACCAGCUGGCUGCAACUGUUUAAUAAAAACACAGCACUGUGCAAACACGAAAGUGGACGUAUACGGUGUGACGCCUGCCCGGUGCUGGAAGGUUAAUUGAUGGGGUCAGCCGCAAGGCGAAGCUCUUGAUCGAAGCCCCAGUAAACGGCGGCCGUAACUAUAACGGUCCUAAGGUAGCGAAAUUCCUUGUCGGGUAAGUUCCGACCUGCACGAAUGGCGUAAUGAUGGCCAGGCUGUCUCCACCCGAGACUCAGUGAAAUUGAACUCGCUGUGAAGAUGCAGUGUACCCGCGGCAAGACGGAAAGACCCCGUGAACCUUUACUAUAGCUUGACACUGAACAUUGAGCCUUGAUGUGUAGGAUAGGUGGGAGGCAUUGAAGUGUGGACGCCAGUCUGCAUGGAGCCAACCUUGAAAUACCACCCUUUAAUGU